ensembl:lncRNA
GCCAGGAAUACUGGUGAUUUUUCUGCGUGCAAGAACUGUGAGGAAUUAAACAGCUUUUUUAACUGCUAUGCGGUGAAGUUGUGAUUAUGUUCAGAAAUGAUAGUGUGUUGGAAUUCAGUUAUAAAACAUGCUCUUUGCUUGUUUAGUGGAUCCUUGGUGUCUGGGUUUUCCAGACAGUGGUGAUCGUCAGCAUGCUGCAUUUAUUGCAUGGAUCAGGAGUGAAAGGCACUGUUCCCUGGAAGCUGCCAUUCACAAGAUUAAGUAUGUUUGGCUUUUUUGAGUUUGUUUGUUUGCUUCCAAGAUUGCUUGUGUUAUCAACCAGGCUGGUAGCAGCUCCCACGAAGACCUCAGGAAUCCCUGACACGAAGACCUGGUGUAAGUCUGGGGGGAGCUGUGGGGUCUCAUUGCCUUUGGUUGCUGUGGCUGGCACUGGCUUGGCUGUGCCUUUCAUCAGAUGGCUUCAGAGGUUCUCUCCUGCACCCUGCCCUAUCCCUGUGCUUUUGACACAUUCAGGGACAAAGUUGGAGUUCCCACCAACCCCACUGAAGGCUCUGCAAUGUACUGCAUCUCCCACUUGGAUGAAUGCUCAUCGUUUUGGCUGGUGAAUGGGAAGAUUUCAAAAUGAAGGGUGAGGGCCAUCCAUACCUGGGGAAUUCAGCUGGACCCCAGGAGCAGAGAGGACUGUGGCUGCAUACCUCCAGGCUGAGAAGGAAGCUCAACACAGAUUUUGCCUUUCCCAGUGAAGUCUUCUCUCACAGACUCGUGAGAUAGGGUUGUGUAUGUGAAGAAUUACGGACUUCCAUGGGUGCUGAGCACAGCUGGCUCCAGAAUUGUCAGAGAUCAGCACCAGUUUAGAUGUCAAAGGACAAAAGGCAAAGAACUGACAUCCAUCUUCAGAUUUCCAAAAAAUAUUUUGCAAGCAACUGGCCUUCUAGAUCCUGGUGGGUCCCAGCUUCCCAGGCUCUCUCCUCAGAUCCAGCUGCUUGCUUCUAGUAAGAAGAGGAAGGCGGAAUAUCAGUGAAAUACUCCCUGAAAUAACAAGAGAUCUCAAGACUGACAGAUUUUCCUAACUCCAGGUGUAGCCUGUCGAAAAAUCUAUGAAAAAUCAGAUGUGCUUUCCUGAAAUGGAAUUUAAGAACAUCUUCGAGCUGACCAAAGAAUAUACCUAGAGAAGUGGUAACCUUUUGUUUGGAUAAAACUUUCACUGGGACCAAAACAUAGUUGCUUACAUAAGUUGUUUUUUGGGUGUUUUUUUUAAGACUUCGUCUUAAAAAAUUACAGUAUGAUGGAUGGCUGAAGGAAACCUACGUUUUGGGAUGUUGUUGAGGAGGGAUUCAUUUUAUUUACCUGUUUCUGAAGUAAAUUUCUAUGUUUUUAUUCUGCAAAAACAAUGUUCAGAUUACAAAAUCUUCACAUUGAAGGGAUAUCUGCAGUUCUAUGAGAAGUCUUUCGAAACUCUCUCAAGAUACUCUUUCACAUUUUGUCUAUAACCAACAACCUUUCAUAGAAUCAUAGAAUCGCUAAGGUUGGAAAAGACCCACAGGAUCAUCCAGUCCAACCAUUUGCCCAUCACCAAUGGUUCUCGCUAAACCAUGUCCCUCAACACAACAUCCAAACGCUCUUUGAACACCACCAGGGUCGGUGACUCCAACACAUCUCUGGGCACUUUCUCAGGACAGAUGCCUUGGAGUUAACUCAGCAGAGUCAUGCUGAUGUAAACUUGGAGUAAGUGAGAGCAGUGUGACUUACAUUUCUUCCUCUGACUCAUAAGUCAACAGAAAAGAUAUAAAUGUACUUGAGGUAAAUAGCUCCCCCAAACUGAUGUUCCUUUUUAUGUUGUCACUCAACUGUGGAACAGUCUUCACUGUGAUAAUUAUAAACAAAGAAGAAUUGCUUCUUUUUUUAGUAGAUUCCUAAGUUUGACAAGUGGUAACUUGUUUUACCUUUCAGACUGGUACUAGUAAGCUGAACUAAAAAGGUGUGGUUCUCUGGUCUAGCACUGGUGGAUGGUGUAAGGAAUACUGCCAUUUAGUGUGGAAAAAAGUCCGUUUUUAUCAUAUGUAGUAAUAUGGAACAACACUAUGUAGUAAGUUCAUUGCCUCUUACCUCAUGCUUAUUAAAUGGCACCCAUAAAUACUGAACAUGCCUGUGACUUAGUUUUGGUAUCUCAAAUUACACAUUUCUAGAGUUUAGGGAAUAUCUGACCAGAGAUGAACUUUACUGGUGCAUCAGUUCUUGGAUCUUUCCCAAAACAUAUGCAGGGACUGUCACUCUUCUUAUUUAUGGCCUCUAGAGGAAUGAUUUAAACGUGUUAUCAUCAAUCCCUCAAGAAAAAUAGUGAAUGUUUCUAGAAAAAUCCAAUUUAUUCUAGUGGAAACAACCAGUGUUGAGCCAGCCCAUUUAAUUCGGAUAUUUCUUAAUCAUUCCUAAUUAUUUUUAUUCAGGUUUUUAAUGAAAUGUUAAAACACACUUAGGAGCACUCUUUCUCUGCAUCCCUUAAGAAUUUGUUACUGUUUUCAGAAGACACUAUCCUGUUAUCACUGAAGACAGGGAAGAAGUCCCUUUGACUUAAAUACCACCAGAAAAUUACCCAAAGUGAGCAAUUUUGCCAAUUGGAAAUUAUUUAUUCCUUGAAGGGCUUACGUGAAUAUGUUCUAGAAAGCCCUGACAACAUUCAGCUUCCAAUGAUUUCAGUGCGGGUUGAGAGUGCUCAGUAAAUUGCAGUACUAGAUUAUAAUUAACAAAAACAAGUAACUUCAAGUAAAGCGUAAAGC